rnacentral:tRNA from 1 species
AGCCUUAAGGUGAUCUUUCAUGUCGAAUUGCAAAUUCGAAGGGGUAGAGAAAUUACUCUACUAAGGCUU